GGCAACAGCUCAAAUUUGAAAUCUGGCUCUCGGGCCCGAGUUGUAAUUUGUAGAGGAUGCUUUUGAUGCGGUGCCUUCCGAGUUCCCUGGAACGGGACGCCAUAGAGGGUGAGAGCCCCGUCUGGUUGGAUGCCAAAUCUCUGUAAAGCUCCUUCAAC
rnacentral:rRNA from 1 species